GAUGAAGAACGUAGUGAAAUGCGAUAAGUAGUGUGAAUUGCAGAAUUCAGUGAAUCAUCGAAUCUUUGAACGCACAUUGCGCCCCUUGGUAUUCCAUGGGGCAUGCCUGUUCGAGCGUCAUUUGUACCUUCAAGCUCUGCUUGGUGUUGGGUGUUUGUCUCGCCUCUGCGUGUAGACUCGCCUCAAAAUAAUUGGCAGCCGGCGUAUUGAUUUCGGAGCGCAGUACAUCUCGCGCUUUGCACUCAUAACGACGACGUCCAAAAGUACAUUUUUACACUCUUGACCUCGGAUCAGGUAGGGAUACCCGCUGAACUUAAGCAUAUCAAUAAGCGAGGA
rnacentral:misc_RNA from 1 species